ACUGAAGAUUGAAGCUUGCUUCUUGAUUCAGAUCUUGGUGAGUGGCGGACGGGUGAGUAACACGUGGGUAACCUGCCCAAAAGUGGGGGAUAACAUUUGGAAACAAGUGCUAAUACCGCAUAACAACUGCUUUCACAUGAUCGCAGCUUAAAAGAUGGCUCUGCUAUCACUUUUGGAUGGACCCGCGGCGUAUUAGCUUGUUGGUGAGGUAACGGCUCACCAAGGCAAUGAUACGUAGCCGACCUGAGAGGGUAAUCGGCCACAUUGGGACUGAGACACGGCCCAAACUCCUACGGGAGGCAGCAGUAGGGAAUCUUCCACAAUGGGCGAAAGCCUGAUGGAGCAAUGCCGCGUGAGUGAAGAAGGUUUUCGGAUCGUAAAACUCUGUUGUUGAAGAAGAACAUGCGUGAGAGUAACUGUUCACGUACUGACGGUAUUCAACCAGAAAGCCACGGCUAACUACGUGCCAGCAGCCGCGGUAAUACGUAGGUGGCAAGCGUUGUCCGGAUUUAUUGGGCGUAAAGAGAAUGUAGGCGGUCUAUUAAGUUUGAAGUGAAAGCCCUCGGCUCAACCGAGGAAGUGCUUCGAAAACUGGUAGACUUGAGUGCAGAAGAGGAAAGUGGAACUCCAUGUGUAGCGGUGGAAUGCGUAGAUAUAUGGAAGAACACCAGUGGCGAAGGCGGCUUUCUGGUCUGUAACUGACGCUGAGAUUC
rnacentral:rRNA from 2 species